UACAGAGGUCCCAAGCGUUGUUCGGAUUCACUGGGCGUAAAGGGUGCGUAGGUGGUGGGGUAAGUCGGAUGUGAAAUCUCCGAGCUCAACUCGGAAAUGGCAUUGGAAACUACCCUGCUAGAGGGUCGGAGGGGGGACUGGAAUACUUGGUGUAGCAGUGAAAUGCGCAGAUAUCAGGAGGAACACCGGUGGCGAAGGCGGGUCUCUGGGCCGAUACUGACGCUGAGGAGCGAAAGCGUGGGGAGCGAACAGG
rnacentral:rRNA from 1 species